rnacentral:sRNA from 1 species
GAGUCUAAAAAAUCUCAUAUGCGUCUUAUUACCACCUUUCACACCAUUAAUCAAUACUCAUGAAAUUAUUCAAUGAAUGCAAGAGUAUGAUCAUGCAAACAAACAAGCAAUCAAUCACCCAAAUAAACACCCAAACUUAUCAUGUGCCAUAUCACAUGCUUCGAGACUCACAGAGAUUCGUCUGAAGGUUCAAGGUUAGCUUCAACAAUUCUCGGUCCCGGACAAGGAUUUCUCAUUCACGGACAAGUUUUCUUCAAACACGGACAAAGGGUCUUGAUCAUGGGCAGAGUUUCUCGAUGGUAACACUUUUUCACCAUUUCUCGGUCGGAUGGUCACUUUAAAACUCGGCAGCCUCUCCGUUUCCCUCUCUUUUUCCUCUCAGAAUACUUUAGGCCGAAUGGAGUUUAUAUAGGGACGGCAUGGGCGAGUCAUCAAGGACACCUGUCAUCUGCCUGUGAUGACACGCAAGCAGCCUUAAUGGGAUGGUAACACGUGGAAUGGGGAAACUUCAGCUCCAAGGGUGGUGGAUUUUGGCUCCACUCCACAUAAAUUCGGCUCCAAGCUACUUUGCUUGGGCUUCAAGUCAACCGGCUCGUGCAUCCUUGAGCAGCAUCUCUCGAUUGGCAAAAAUUCUCUAUCAGUAGAGUCUCUCGAUCGGCAGAAUUCUCGAUCGGCAAAAAUUCUCUAUCUGUAGAAUUCUCUCGAUCAGCGGAAUUCACGAUAAGUAGAUUCUAUCGAUCGGCUAGACUCUCUAUCGGCAGAAUUCUCUCGAUCGGCAGAAUUCACGAUCGACAAAUUCUAUCGAUCGGCUAGAUUAUUCGGACUCGACGUUUUGUUUCCCAUCACUCGGCCAAGUUCAUGUCCAUCUUCUCGGCUUUCAUUCCUUAGCAAAUUCUUUCUCCUUUGAAGUUUGGUGAAAUUUUCUUU